UUUUAUGGCCACACCACCCUGAAUGUGCCCAAUCUCCUCUCAUCUUGGAAGCUAAGCAAGGUCCAGCCUGGCUAGUACUUGGACGGGAGUCCUCUGGCAUAUUUUCUAAAAGCCCCCUAUAUU
rnacentral:rRNA from 1 species